GUGGUGGCUCAGAGGGAGAGUGCUCACCUAGCAUGCGUGAGGCACUGGGUUCGAUCCUCAGCACCACA
rnacentral:tRNA from 1 species